CCUACGGGAGGCUGCAGUGGGGAAUAUUGGGCAAUGGGCGCGAGCCUGAACCAGCAACGCCGCGUGAAGGAAGAAGGCUUUAGGGUUUUAAACUUCUUUUGACAGGGAAGAGUAGAAGACGGUACCUGUCGAAUAAGCCACGGCUAACUACGUGCCAGCAGCCGCGGUAAUACGUAGGUGGCAAGCGUUGUCCGGCUUUACUGGGUGUAAAGGGCGUGUAGCCGGGUUGACAAGUCAGAUGUGAAAUCCUGCGGCUUAACCGUAGAACUGCAUUUGAAACUGUUUCCCUUGAGUGUCGGAGAGGUAAUCGGAAUUCCUGGUGUAGCGGUGAAAUGCGUAGAUAUAAGGAAGAACACCAGUGGCGAAGGCGGAUUACUGGACGAUAACUGACGGUGAGGCGCGAAAGCGUGGGGAGCAAACAGGAUUAGAUACCCUGGUAGUC
rnacentral:rRNA from 1 species